rnacentral:lncRNA from 10 species
GGUAAACCUCAGGUUCUCCUCCUGCCUUUUGCUAAGUAUAUGUCUUGAUGACAAGCCUUCUGCUGAUGAGCUGUGUUUCUGGACCGAUCAUGGUAGAAGUCAAUUAACGUGUCCCUCACUUGGGGUUUCUCAAGGACAUGCAAGGUCCUCAUGAUUGUCUCAAAACUAUAUAGAAUUGAGAAGCUGCACUGAUGAGGAAACUGAAACAGAAAAUCCAGAGUAAAUUCCACCAGGCCACACAGCAAGGUCUGAUAGAGCCAGGAGAGACUUUAUGAAAUCCAGACUCUCACACUAAUGCUCUAUCAGCUAGACCUCCAUGUGAGUCUCCCCAAUGUAGGUAGGAAGUGCUUUCCCUAAAAUGCUCAUAAAGCAAAUCAGAGCAAUGCUGCAUUCCAUGUGAUUUCUAAUUUGAAAUGCAAACAAUUGCCAAUUUGUUUGACUUGUAUUUAUAAUUAUUUCCUUGUGAAUUACUCAUCACUAAAUGCUUUAUAAAUAUUUUCUCUUUUUUUCCUCAAUGUCUAUGGAAUGAUCACAGCAUAGAAAAUGUUGGCUUUCAAGGAUUUAUUAAUAUCUCCUUUUGAAAUAACAUGUAUUUGUAAGACAGAAUAAAAUCACUUUAAAGAAACAAA